rnacentral:pre_miRNA from 1 species
UUUAAGUGCAACCAUAAGUUUUCGCGCCCAAUUUUGAUCGUCCGUCUUAUUUGAAAAUUUUUUAUAAUUAGUAUUUUUGUUGUUAUGUGAUGAUAAAACAUGAAUAGUGCUUUACUCGUGACUUAUGUUUUUAAUUUUUUUUCAAAUAAGAUGUUGGUCANNNNNNNN